AGCAGGAUAACAAGGGGCGAUCAGGGAUAAUCCGAAGAAGAGCUAUUCCCAUUGCAAUGGCAGCAAAUAUCUUGUGCAGACAGAUGGUCCAUAAAGCUUUCCAAGCAUCGUUUUUCGUCUCUGCAACUCCAAUUGCAAUGCCCUCGAAGACAGAAUGGAAACACAAAGCGACUAUAAGCAAAAUGCUGUCCCCAAAUGAUCUGACAGUUGCAAGUGAGGAUUUUGCAGAGGCAGCAUCAGUACCAUUGUGCAUCUGAA
rnacentral:misc_RNA from 1 species